rnacentral:rRNA from 1 species
CGCGGCCUAUCAGCUUGUUGGUGGGGCAACGGCCUACCAAGGCGACGACGGGUAGCCGGCCUGAGAGGGCGACCGGCCACACUGGGACUGAGAUACGGCCCAGACUCCUACGGGAGGCAGCAGUGGGGAAUAUUGCGCAAUGGGCGAAAGCCUGACGCAGCAACGCCGCGUGAGGGAACGAAGACUUUUGGGUCGUAAACCUCUUCCAGCAGGGACGAAGCGCAAGUGACGGUACCUGCAGAAGAAGCACCGGCUAACUACGUGCCAGCAGCCGCGGUAAUACGUAGGGUGCGAGCGUUGUCCGGAUUUAUUGGGCGUAAAGGGCUCGUAGGCGGUCCGUCGCGUCGGAAGUGAAAUCCCGGGGCUCAACCCCGGGCCUGCUUUCGAUACGGGCGGACUUGAGUUCGGUAGGGGAGACUGGAAUUCCUGGUGUAGCGGUGGAAUGCGCAGAUAUCAGGAGGAACACCAAUGGCGAAGGCAGGUCUCUGGGCCGAUACUGACGCUGAGGAGCGAAAGCGUGGGGAGCGAACAGGAUUAGAUACCCUGGUAGUCCACGCCGUAAACGGUGGGCGCUAGGUGUGGGGAACAGUCUACGUUUUCCGCGCCGCAGCUAACGCAUUAAGCGCCCCGCCUGGGGAGUACGG